GACGAACGCUGGCGGCGUGCUUAACACAUGCAAGUCGAACGGAAAGGCCCUGCCUUUGUGGGGUGCUCGAGUGGCGAACGGGUGAGUAACACGUGAGUAACCUGCCCUUGACUUUGGGAUAACUUCAGGAAACUGGGGCUAAUACCGGAUAGGAGCUCCUGCUGCAUGGUGGGGGUUGGAACGUUUCGGCGGUUGGGGAUGGACUCGCGGCUUAUCAGCUUGUUGGUGGGGUAGUGGCUUACCAAGGCUUUGACGGGUAGCCGGCCUGAGAGGGUGACCGGCCACCUUGGGACUGAGAUACGGCCCGGACUCCUACGGGAGGCAGCAGUGGGGAAUAUUGCACAAUGGGCGGAAGCCGGAUGCAGCAACGCCGCGUGCGGGAUGACGGCCUUCGGUUUGUAAACCGCUUUCGCCUGUGACGAAGCGUGAGUGACGGUAAUGGGUAAAUAAGCACCGGCUAACUACGUG
rnacentral:rRNA from 1 species